rnacentral:pre_miRNA from 1 species
GGGGGGUGUGAUCCCAUGCUCCCUGGGGGGGUGUGACCCCGCGCUCCCUGGGGGGUGUGACCCCACGCUUCCU